UUAAGCUACUAAGAGCUUAGGGUGGAUGCCUAGGCACCAAGAGCCGAAGAAGGACGUGAUAAGCUGCGAUAAGCUACGGGGAGGAGCAAAUAUCCCUCGAUCCGUAGAUGUCCGAAUGAGGAAACUCAACUCAGGUAAAUGCUGAGUUAUCUCUGUAUGAGUAAAGUAGUACAGAAGAAGGGAACGAAGGGAACUGAAACAUCUUAGUACCUUUAGGAGUAGAAAAUAAACCAAUGAUUCCUUAAGUAGUGGCGAGCGAAAGAGGAAGAGCCCAAACCGAUUGGCUUCGGUCAGUCGGGGUUCGGAGUUACAACAAAGUGUAAGAUUAAUUGUAGUGGAAAUGUUUUGGAAAAGCAUAUCAAAGAGGGUGAGGAAUCCCGUACACGAAACAAGAGAGAAAUGCGAGUAACAUCCAGAGUAAGGCAGGACACGAGAAAUCCUGUGUGAAUGAGCGGGGACCAUCCCGUAAGGCUAAAUACUACUUGGUGACCGAUAGUGAACGAGUACCGUGAGGGAAAGGUGAAAAGAACCCCGGAAGGGGAGUGAAAUAGAAUCUGAAACCCUUUGCUUACAAGCAGAUAGAGCACGUUAAAUGUGUGAUAUCGUACUUUUUGCAUAACGGUCCGGCGAGUUAAUUUAUAUGGCAAGGAUAAAUGCUUUAGGCAUGGAUCCGAAGAGAAAUCGAGUCUGAAAUGGGCAAAUUAAGUCAUAUGAAUUAGACCCGAAACCGGGUGACCUACCCAUGUCCAGGGUGAAGCUAGAGUGAAAUCUAGUAGAGGCCCGAACCAGGUGAUGUUGAAAAAUCAUUGGAUGAGGUGUGGGUAGCGGAGAAAUUCUAAUCGAACUCGGAUAUAGCUGGUUCUCCUCGAAAUAGCUUUAGGGCUAGCCUUGAGUAAAAACUUUAUGGGGGUAGAGCACUGAAUGAGUAAGGGGUCUGAACAGAUUACCAAUCUUUAUCAAACUACGAAUACCAUAAAAGAAGCUCAGGAGUCAGACUAUGAAAGCUAAGUUCCAUAGUCAAAAGGGAAACAGCCCAGACCACCAAUUAAGGUCCCAAAGGAAUAACUAAGUGGAAAACGAUGUGAUUUUGCGCAGACAACCAGGAUGUUGGCUUAGAAGCAGCAAUUCAUUUAAAGAGUGCGUAAUAGCUCACUGGUCGAGUGAAGUUGCGCGGAAAAUUACCGGGGCUAAGUUAUUCACCGAAAUUGUGGAUUUGGUAUUACCACGUGUAAUAUUAAGUGGUAGAGGAGCGUUCUAUAGGGUUUGAAGCAUGAUCGAAAGGACAUGUGGACUAUAUAGAAGUGAGAAUGCCGGAAUAAGUAGCGAGAGCAAAGUGAGAAUCUUUGCCGUCGAAAAUCUAAGGUUUCCUGGGGAAGGUUCGUCCGCCCAGGGUAAGUCGGGUCCUAAGGCGAGGCCGAGAGGCGUAGUCGAUGGACAGCAGGUUAAGAUUCCUGCACUAGAGAACAUGUAAUACAUUAGAGGACACAUUUCUAGAAGGUGUGCGAGGAUAUGGAUAUACUCGUAUCGCAAGAUAUAGUGAAAAUUAGUAAUGAAUCACCAAGACGGAGGUGGCGAGAAAAGUCUAAUGUAGUUGUGUGAUCUACCCGUACCGCAAACCGACACAGGUAGAUGAGGAGAGGAUCCUAAGACGAGCGGGAGAAGCAUUGUUAAGGAACUCGGCAAAUUGGUCCCGUAACUUUGGAAGAAGGGACGCUGGCAGUAAAUGUCAGCCGCAGUGAAUAGGCCCAAGCAACUGUUUAUCAAAAACACAGGUUUCUGCUAAAUCGUAAGAUGAAGUAUAGGAGCUGACGCCUGCCCAGUGCUGGAAGGUUAAAGGGAAGAGUUAGGUGUAUUUAUAUUCCGAAGCUUAGAACUGAAGCCCCAGUGAACGGCGGCCGUAACUAUAACGGUCCUAAGGUAGCGAAAUUCCUUGUCAGGUAAGUUCUGACCCGCACGAAAGGCGUAAUGAUUUG
rnacentral:rRNA from 1 species